AUUGAACGCUGGCGGCAGGCCUAACACAUGCAAGUCGGACGGUAGCACAGAGGAGCUUGCUCCUCGGGUGACGAGUGGCGGACGGGUGAGUAAUGUCUGGGGAUCUGCCCGAUAGAGGGGGAUAACCACUGGAAACGGUGGCUAAUACCGCAUAACGUCGCAAGACCAAAGAGGGGGACCUUCGGGCCUCUCACUAUCGGAUGAACCCAGAUGGGAUUAGCUAGUAGGCGGGGUAAUGGCCCACCUAGGCGACGAUCCCUAGCUGGUCUGAGAGGAUGACCAGCCACGCUGGAACUGAGACACGGUCCAGACUCCUACGGGAGGCAGCAGUGGGGAAUAGUGCACAAUGGGCGCAAGCCUGAUGCAGCCAUGCCGCGUGUAUGAAGAAGGCCUUCGGGUUGUAAAGUACUUUCAGCGGGGAGGAAGGCGGUGAGGUUAAUAACCUUGCCGAUUGACGUUACCCGCAGAAUAAGCACCGGCUAACUCUGUGCCAGCCGCCGCCGUAA
rnacentral:rRNA from 1 species